UAGCUCAGUCGGUAGAGCGUUUCCAUGGUAAGGAAGAGGUCGCAGGUUCGAUUCCUGU
rnacentral:tRNA from 1 species